rnacentral:rRNA from 1 species
GAUUAACGCUGGCGGCGUGCCUAACACAUGCAAGUCGAGCGGCAGCGAGUUUUACACUGAAUUCGGGAAGCUUCCAGUCGAAUGAGAAGCUUUAUUCUAGCCUUUUGUGUAAAAUGUCGUAGCGCGGCGGACGGCUGAGUAACGCGUGGUAACGUACCCUACAGCGAGGGAUAACGCAUCGAAAGGUGUCCUAAUACCGCAUAUGCUCUUCGGAUUAACGCCUUCGGGCGCUUUGGGAACGGCCUGUGUAAGAUUGGAUGGUUGGUGGGGUAAUGGCCUACCAAGUCGACGAUCUUGAACUGGUAUGAGAGGAGGAUCAGUCAGACUGGAACUGAGACACGGUCCAGACUCCUACGGGAGGCAGCAGUGAAGAGUCUUCCACAAUGGACGAAAGCCUGAUGGAGCAACGCCGCGUGCAGGAUGAAGGCCUUCGGGUUGUAAACUGCUUUUAUAAGUGAGGAUUAUGACAGUAACGGAUGAAUAAGGAUCGGCUAACUACGUG